CACAAAACGAAGACGGGAACAGUACAUCAGCCAAUCUUUUUUAGCGAGCCGGGAAGGGUGGGAGCCUGGUAAAAGACGCUGCAUGGAAGAUCAUCCCCGAGUCCUCUUUCGAAAUCCUUUCUUGAUUAGGUGAGUAGGAUGAGGCGAGUCAUUCACGUUACGAAUUCCAAGCGGAAUAUUAUUCUGACCAGAAUGGUAUUCUAUAAGGGUGGUACCGCGGAAAUUCAAGCCUUUUCGUCCCUUUA
rnacentral:ncRNA from 1 species